GGAGCGUCUGGGCAUCCUGACCGGCGCGCAGCUCUUCUCUCUGAAUAAAGAUCAUCUGAAGGCUGUGUGUGGAGACGAGGGAUCUCGCGUCUUCAGCCAGAUCACCGUCCAGAAAUCACAACUAGAGAAGAGUCGAGGAGAUACAGAACUGCAAGAGAUUCUGACUAAACAACAAGAGAAAAUUUCAUCUGCCCCCUAAACACGCUCACACAGACUGUCAAUCAAACAGUCACCUGGUAACAGUAACCGUCAACCAAACCCACCAAUGAAAUUCAGCCACACCGUCGACCAAACGUCUAAUCCAAUAUAUUUUUUAGUUGUGUAUUUAUUGUUGGUGCUUUUUAUUAGUGCAUGUACGGACCUUAUUGUAAUUUAUCCGCAUACGUUAUCUGGUUCAUGCUGGAAAAUACUUACUACUCUUUAUUGCAUGAAAACAAUGUAUAGGUGAAUCUCAUGAAAACAUGUACAGGUCAUGCUUCAAAAUUAAAAGAAAAAUGAACGAUAAAAAUAAAGGACUAUAAAGAUUUUAUUUUUGCGUUUUCAUGUAAUUUUAACCACAAUUGCUCAAAGUAGACUUUUUCUUUAGUUUUUAUGUAAUUCUCAAUUAUUAAAUAGCAUGUAUGAACUUGUCACCUCAAAAUCCAAAGAAAAAUUAUGAAAGAAAAUUGACUAUUUUAGGACCCUUUUUUGUUAUUUUUGCAUUUCCGUGUCAUUUUAUCCACAGCUUCUCAAAUGCACACAUUUUGAGUUUGUCAUUUUUGAUGAUUCUUGUUUUAAGCAGAGGUGAAAUGCAAUAUGUAUAGUGCAAAAAUGUAAAUUUAAGCAAAAUACACAUCUUUCUUGUAGUGGUUCAGUGUGACUCGUACAUGUUGACAGGUGAGAUUCACCCGUGUCUGAGCGGAGUGAAUGUUUUCUGGGGUUUGAUCUGUGACAUUGGUUUUUGAAAGAAACAAAUGUAAAUAAUGUGCUAAAUUCAGUCGCAUCAUGCAUGUUUCUGAUGCUGAUCAUUAUAUCAAAUGAAUGAAGCGAGAACAGUACAUUUAUCAGCUGGAUUCAUGCACGUCUUUUUUUUUAUUUGUAUAAAGCGCAUUUAGAGACUUUGAUCUUACAGUAUGUGGUUUAAUCACAAUAGAGACACUUUAAAAAGACACACAGAUGAGAUUUAAUCAGUUUAAUCAGAUAACAAUUGUAGGAAAUCAAAUUAAAUGUCAUAUUAAACCGGAAGUAGUAUUAUCCUCUGCUAGUUUCUCCAAAUGUUAUUUAUAAAAACCAAAUCACUGUAUUGUAAAUUUCAGAAAUAAAGUGACUACUAAAAA